GGGGAUGUAGCUCAAUUGGCUAGAGCGCAGCAUUCGCAUUGCUGAGGUUGUGGGUUCGAGUCCCAUCAUCUCCA
rnacentral:tRNA from 1 species